rnacentral:rRNA from 1 species
AGAGUUUGAUCCUGGCUCAGAUUGAACGCUGGCGGCAGGCCUAACACAUGCAAGUCGAGCGGAAACGAGUUAUCUGAACCUUCGGGGAACGAUAACGGCGUCGAGCGGCGGACGGGUGAGUAAUGCCUAGGAAAUUGCCCUGAUGUGGGGGAUAACCAUUGGAAACGAUGGCUAAUACCGCAUAAUACCUACGGGUCAAAGAGGGGGACCUUCGGGCCUCUCGCGUCAGGAUAUGCCUAGGUGGGAUUAGCUAGUUGGUGAGGUAAUGGCUCACCAAGGCGACGAUCCCUAGCUGGUCUGAGAGGAUGAUCAGCCACACUGGAACUGAGACACGGUCCAGACUCCUACGGGAGGCAGCAGUGGGGAAUAUUGCACAAUGGGCGCAAGCCUGAUGCAGCCAUGCCGCGUGUGUGAAGAAGGCCUUCGGGUUGUAAAGCACUUUCAGUCGUGAGGAAGGUAGUGUAGUUAAUAGCUGCAUUAUUUGACGUUAGCGACAGAAGAAGCACCGGCUAACUCCGUGCCAGCAGCCGCGGUAAUA